GGUCAGGCGCCGUCGUGGCGGGACCCUGUGAACCGGGUCAGGUCCUGGCGGAAGCAGCCCUAAGCAGAUCGUCUCGGGUACGGCGGUCGCCUGGCCAGA
rnacentral:SRP_RNA from 6 species